rnacentral:misc_RNA from 1 species
GAAAAAUCACAGUGAGCCAUUACCUAAAUUAACAUAGGAUAUACACCAAGUGAAAGAUUGUAACAGUAUUAAUUAUCCUAAUAAUGUUAACAAUAAUAUCUGCUUACAGCAUAUAGAAAGGGUGACCUUAGAUCUAAGGUGGUCAUGCCAGUUGCCGAGAAUUGCCGGCCAAAUAGAUACACAUAUCUCAAAAACCCCCAAAAAAUAUUGGAGAAAUAUAGAAACAAAACAACAGAUUUACAUCAUCCAAUGAACUGAAAUGUGAUGCAGCUCCCAUCCUACGUCCACCAUCAUCCACUCUUCAUCAUUUUAUAUGCCAAUUCUCCUUUACCUUCACUGUUAAUUACAAAUCCGACUGCCAUAGCCCAAAACAAUCAUACUCAAGUCAUUUU